rnacentral:rRNA from 1 species
UACGUAGGGGGCGAGCGUUGUCCGAAGUUACUGGGCGUAAAGCGCGCGUAGGCGGGGGAUUAAGUGAGAGGUGAAAGGCUGGGGCUCAACCUCAUGCAGUGCCUCUCAUACUGGUUCUCUUGAGGGCGGUAGGGAGAAGUGGAAUGGCCGGUGUAGCGGUGAAAUGCGUAGAGAUCGGAAAGAACACCAACGGCGAAAGCACUCUGCUGGGCCGACACUGACACUGAGAGACGAAAGCUAGGGGAGCGAAUGGG